GAUCCUGGCUCAGGACGAACGCUGGCGGUGCGCCUAAUGCAUGCAAGUCGAACGAGCGACCCGGGCUUGCCCGGUUAGCUAGUGGCAGACGGCUGAGUAACACGUAAAUAAUCUGCCCCGAAGAGGGGGAUAAUCCAGAGAAAUCUGGCCUAAUACCCCGUACCUAUCUUUUCAGCCUGCUGAAUUGAUAGAAAGGUUUAUUCCGCUUUGGGAGGAGUUUGCGGCUUAUCAGGUAGUUGGUGGGGUAAUGGCCUACCAAGCCGAAGACGAGUAACCGGUGUGAGAGCACGAUCGGUCAGAGGGGGACUGAGACACGGCCCCCACUCCUACGGGAGGCAGCAGCAGGGAAUCUUGCGCAAUGGGCGAAAGCCUGACGCAGCGACACCGCGUGGAGGAUGAAUGUCUUAGGAUUGUAAACUCCUUUUAUCAAGGAAGAGAACGGACGGUACUUGAUGAAUAAGGUUCGGCUAACUACGUGCCAGCAGCCGCGGUAAUACGUAGGAACCGAGCGUUGUCCGAAUUUACUGGGCGUAAAGAGCGCGUAGGCGGUCUAUUAAGUCUCAUGUGUAAUCUCCCGGCUCAACUGGGAGGGGUCAUGGGAUACUGGUAGACUUGAAGAUAGCAGAGGAAAGCGGAAUUCCCGGAGUAGUGGUGAAAUGCGUAGAUACCGGGAGGAACACCAGAAGCGAAGGCGGCUUUCUGGGCUAUUCUUGACGCUGAGGCGCGAAAGCGUGGGGAGCGAACCGGAUUAGAUACCCGGGUAGUCCACGCCCUAAACGAUGGAUACUAGAUGUUGGAGGUAUAGACCCCUUCAGUGUCGAAGUUAACGCGAUAAGUAUCCCGCCUGGGGAGUACGGCCGCAAGGCUAAAACUCAAAGGAAUUGACGGGGGCCCGCAC
rnacentral:rRNA from 1 species